UAGUUAAUUACAACCCAUAGUACAAGGCUCAGAGAAACAAAAAAAUGAAAAAGAAUACAUCAAGUAUAUCAAAAGGUACAAUCUUCCAAAGCAAAAGCUUGAGGGUUUUGAAGGCACCAUUCCUCCCACAGAAAAUCUACCCCACUAAUCUGUUUCACCACUCCACCGUUCUCAAUCUUACCAUCCAAAAAUUGGGAUUUUAAAAGACUCUUUCAGGAGAAAAGAGUUCUAGAAGAGUUCUUUUAAAAUCCAGACCAUUGAUUGCUGAGACGGAUGAACGCUGCAGUGGGGUAGCACCGCAGUUCUUUUCGUCGAUGUAUCAAAAAAAUACUUCACUAGCAAAACUAAGUAUAAAGAAACCAAAAAAUAAUGUAUUUGCAAACCUUACUGAUACAGUUCUGUAAUACAAAAGCAUCAAGUGUGAACCAUAUGAAACUACAAUUCCUAAAAAUGGAUUUUGUUAGCGGACUGUCUAUAUAUAUAUCAACACUAAUGAAAAGGAGAUCAUCUGCCACAUUCCCUGCACUGUAAACUCUAAUUUAGUUCUUACGAGAAAUCGACCAUUGAUCACUUCCCCCCUUUCUAUUUGAGAGAUACUAAUAAGGUUGUUAGAUAAACAAGGGCAUUCAGCGUCGAAAAGACCCAACUUGUUAAGGGCAUGUUUGCGAUUGUCUCGUCAUAUAUCUUAAGCUCUUUAGUUUAUGAU